GGCUCCUCCCAUCAGUCUGACCAGCUCAGCAUCUCAUUUCCACCACUAAUAAGGCUGAACAGCAGUGUAGAGACGGAGAAUAGUCAGUAAUGAGCUCUGAAAGACACUGCAGGGAACGCUGAAUGAGAAGAGCAGUGAAAGGGUUUAGAUGAACAGAAGAAAGGAUGAGAGAGGACAGAAAGAAUAAGAACCAUCUGCAGACGUCAGGUGAACAGGUCUUCUCCUUUAUAAGCAGCUCAGAUGGAGGACGCUGGAUGACUGACAGUCUUUACUGCAGAUGAUCUGCUGUGGAGGUCAUUCACAGAUUCAGCUCCGUCACUCAGUCAGAGUCACUAAGACUGUAAAGUGAAGCAUGUUUACUGGACUCUGGACUCUGUACAGCCCCUCAGGUUUGAUGUUAUUGACCUGUGGGAUCUUGUUACCAUUCAGAUGGGAUGUUUUAGACGGUGCAUGACAGUCUCAGCAUUUUGAUGCAUGUAAGACGGCUUUAGGUUCUGCAUUGAUGAUUGGGCUGAAAAGAUGAAGAGCAGAAAUCACAGUUGAAGAUGGUUUUUAGAUGAUUUUCAUGUGCUUGCUGAGUUUAACUUGUGCCCAGGGUCCCAUGAAGACCAUGACUGAUCCCUGAUUAUACAGUAUAGUUCAAACCGUUCGCACUGCUUACUGUAUUUAAAGACUUUCAUAUAGAAAACUGUGGAAAUGUUUACUGUAAAUGUUAUUAAACACAUGGGAAAUAUUUACCCUGUUCAUUAUGGUUUUA